AGACGCCUUCUUCCACGCUGAUAUUCUGAGAUAUCUGGCUCAGACUUUCUCUUUGGAGCCAGAGUGCGACGCAAAGGUAUUUCAGGUGUGCAGGGUGGUGGCACAUCAGGGGAGUCAGGAGAUCUAGGCUGUGUGCUGUUGGCUUGGGUUUGGGUCAGUGACAGGGAUUGUGCAUUCUCAUCUGUUGUCUGUGAGGG